AGCAGCCGCGGUAAUUCCAGCUCCAAUAGCGUAUAUUAAAGUUGUUGCAGUUAAAAAGCUCGUAGUUGAACUUCGGGAUUUGCUCAUUGGUCAGGCUUCACUGUCUGUACUGGUGUAACGAAUUCCUACCUUCUGAUGAAUCUUCAUGCCAUUCAUUUGGUGCGUAGGGGAAUCAGGACUGUUACUUUGAAAAAAUUAGAGUGUUUAAAGCAGGCU
rnacentral:rRNA from 1 species